rnacentral:rRNA from 1 species
GUGGGGAAUCUUGCGCAAUGGGCGAAAGCCUGACGCAGCCAUGCCGCGUGAAUGAUGAAGGUCUUAGGAUUGUAAAAUUCUUUCACCGGGGACGAUAAUGACGGUACCCGGAGAAGAAGCCCCGGCUAACUUCGUGCCAGCAGCCGCGGUAAUACGAAGGGGGCUAGCGUUGCUCGGAAUUACUGGGCGUAAAGGGCGCGUAGGCGGACAGUUUAGUCAGAGGUGAAAGCCCAGGGCUCAACCUUGGAAUUGCCUUUGAUACUGGCUGUCUUGAGUACGGGAGAGGUGAGUGGAACUCCGAGUGUAGAGGUGAAAGUCGUAGAUAUUCGGAAGAACACCAGUGGCGAAGGCGACUCACUGGCCCGUUACUGACGCUGAGGCGCGAAAGCGUGGGGAGCAAACAGGAUUAGAAACCCGUGUAGUCC